AACAAGGCGUACCUGCGGACCUGCGGAGGGAUCAUUACAAGUGACCCCGGUCUUACCACCGGGAUGUUCAUAACCCUUUGUUGUCCGACUCUGUUGCCUCCGGGGCGACCCUGCCUUCGGGCGGGGGCUCCGGGUGGACACUUCAAACUCUUGCGUAACUUUGCAGUCUGAGUAAACUUAAUUAAUAAAUUAAAACUUUCAGCAAUGGAUCU
rnacentral:misc_RNA from 1 species